rnacentral:rRNA from 1 species
GACGAACGCUGGCGGCGUGCUUAACACAUGCAAGUCGAACGGAAAGGCCCUGCUUUUGUGGGGGGCUCGAGUGGCGAACGGGUGAGUAACACGUGAGUAACCUGCCCUUGACUUUGGGAUAACUUCAGGAAACUGGGGCUAAUACCGGAUAGGAGCUCCUGCUGCAUGGUGGGGGUUGGAAAGUUUCGGCGGUUGGGGAUGGACUCGCGGCUUAUCAGCUUGUUGGUGGGGUAGUGGCUUACCAAGGCUUUGACGGGUAGCCGGCCUGAGAGGGUGACCGGCCACAUUGGGACUGAGAUGCGGCCCAGACUCCUACGGGAGGCAGCAGUGGGGAAUAUUGCACAAUGGGCGGAAGCCUGAUGCAGCAACGCCGCGUGCGGGAUGACGGCCUUCGGGUUGUAACCCGCUUUCGCCUGUGACGAAGCGUGAGUGACGGUAAUGGGUAAAGAAGCACCGGCUAACUACGUG